CUCUAGUGGCGGACGGGUGAGUAACACGUGAGAAUUUGCCUUUAGGAGGGGGAUAACAAUUGGAAACGAAUGCUAAUACCCCAUAUGCUUCCGAGUGAAAUGGAUUUAUAUUUAUCCGCCUAAAGAGAAGCUCGCGGCUGAUUAGCUUGUUGGUAAGGUAAGAGCUUACCAAGGCGACGAUCAGUAUCUGGUUUGAGAGGACGAUCAGACACACUGGAACUGAGACACGGUCCAGACUCCUACGGGAGGCAGCAGUGGGGAAUUUUCCGCAAUGGGCGAAAGCCUGACGGAGCAAUACCGCGUGAGGGAAGACUGCCUAUGGGUUGUAAACCUCUUUUUUCAGGGAGGAAUCAAUGACGUGUACCUGAAGAAUAAGCAUCGGCUAACUCCGUGCCAGCAGCCGCGGUAAGACGGAGGAUGCAAGUGUUAUCCGGAAUCACUGGGCGUAAAGCGUCUGUAGGUGGUUUAAUAAGUCAACUGUUAAAUCUUGAGGCUCA
rnacentral:rRNA from 1 species